rnacentral:rRNA from 1 species
CUACCCUUGACAUGUCCGGAAGCCCGCUGAGAGGUGGGUGUGCCCGAAAGGGAACUGGAACACAGGUGCUGCAUGGCUGUCGUCAGCUCGUGUCGUGAGAUGUUGGGUUAAGUCCCGCAACGAGCGCAACCCUUGUCCUUAGUUGCUACGCAAGGGCACUCUAAGGAGACUGCCGGUGACAAACCGGAGGAAGGUGGGGAUGACGUCAAGUCCUCAUGGCCCUUAUGGGUAGGGCUUCACACGUCAUACAAUGGCCGGUACAGAGGGUUGCCAACCCGCGAGGGGGAGCCAAUCCCGUAAAAGCCGGUCGUAGUCCGGAUUGCAGUCUGCAACUCGACUGCAUGAAGUCGGAAUCGCUAGUAAUCGCGGAUCAGCAUGCCGCGGUGAAUACGUUCCC